rnacentral:misc_RNA from 1 species
GAUGAAGAACGCAGCGAAAUGCGAUAAGUAGUGUGAAUUGCAGAAUUCAGUGAAUCAUCGAAUCUUUGAACGCACAUUGCGCCCCUUGGUAUCCCGAGGGGCAUGCCUGUUCGAGCGUCAUUUCACCACUCAAGCCUGGCUUGGUGUUGGGCGACGUCCCCUUUGGGGACGCGCCUCGAAACGCUCGGCGGCGUGGCACCGGCUUUAAGCGUAGCAGAAUCUUUCGCUUUGGAAGUCGGGGCCCCGUCUGCCGGAAGACCUACUCGCAAGGUUGACCUCGUAUCAGGCAGGGAUACCCGCUGAACUUAAGCAUAUCAAUAAGCGGAGGA